rnacentral:rRNA from 1 species
CCUGAUGCAGCGACGCCGCGUGAGGGAUGACGGCCUUCGGGUUGUAAACCUCUUUCAAUAGGGACGAAGCGUAAGUGACGGUACCUAUAGAAGAAGCACCGGCCAACUACNUGCCAGCAGCCGCGGUAAUACGUAGGGUGCGAGCGUUGUCCGGAAUUACUGGGCGUAAAGAGCUCGUAGGUGGUUUGUCGCGUUGUUCGUGAAAACUCACAGCUUAACUGUGGGCGUGCGGGCGAUACGGGCAGACUGGAGUACUGCAGGGGAGACUGGAAUUCCUGGUGUAGCGGUGGAAUGCGCANAUAUCAGGAGGAACACCGGUGGCGAAGGCGGGUCUCUGGGCAGUAACUGACGCUGAGGAGCGAAAGCGUGGGGAGCGAACAGGAUUAGAUACCCUGGUAGUCCACGCCGUAAACGGUGGGUACUAGGUGUGGGUUUCCUUCCUUGGGAUCCGUGCCGUAGCUAACGCAUUAAGUACCCCGCCUGGGGAGUACGGCCGCAAGGCUAAAACUCAAAGAAAUUGACGGGGGCCCGCACAAGCGGCGGAGCAUGUGGAUUAAUUCGAUGCAACGCGAAGAACCUUACCUGGGUUUGACAUGCACAGGACGCCGGCAGAGAUGUCGGUUCCCUUGUGGCCUGUGUGCAGGUGGUGCAUGGCUGUCGUCAGCUCGUGUCGUGAGAUGUUGGGUUAAGUCCCGCAACGAGCGCAACCCUUGUCUCAUGUUGCCAGCA